rnacentral:rRNA from 1 species
ACUCCUACGGGAGGCAGCAGUGGGGAAUAUUGCACAAUGGGCGCAAGCCUGAUGCAGCCAUGCCGCGUGUGUGAAGAAGGCCUUCGGGUUGUAAAGCACUUUCAGUUGUGAGGAAGGUGGUGUCGUUAAUAGCGGCAUCAUUUGACGUUAGCAACAGAAGAAGCACCGGCUAACUCCGUGCCAGCAGCCGCGGUAAUACGGAGGGGUGCGAGCGUUAAUCGGAAUUACUGGGCGUAAAGCGCAUGCAGGUGGUUUGUUAAGUCAGAUGUGAAAGCCCGGGGCUCAACCUCGGAACUGCAUUUGAAACUGGCAGACUAGAGUACUGUAGAGGGGGUAGAAUUUCAGGUGUAGCGGUGAAAUGCGUAG